rnacentral:rRNA from 1 species
AACGAACGCUGGCGGCAGGCUUAACACAUGCAAGUCGAGCGCCCAGCAAGGGGAGCGGCAGACGGGUGAGUAACGCGUGGGAACGUACCUUUUGCUACGGAAUAACUCAGGGAAACUUGUGCUGAUACCGUAUGUGCCCUUCGGGGGAAAGAUUUAUCGGCAAAGGAUCGGCCCGCGUUGGAUUAGCUAGUUGGUGAGGUAAAGGCUCACCAAGGCGACGAUCCAUAGCUGGUCUGAGAGGAUGAUCAGCCACACUGGGACUGAGACACGGCCCAGACUCCUACGGGAGGCAGCAGUGGGGAAUAUUGGACAAUGGGCGCAAGCCUGAUCCAGCCAUGCCGCGUGAGUGAUGAAGGCCCUAGGGUUGUAAAGCUCUUUCACCGGUGAAGAUAAUGACGGUAACCGGAGAAGAAGCCCCGGCUAACUUCGUGCCAGCAGCCGCGGUAAUACGAAGGGGGCUAGCGUUGUUCGGAUUUACUGGGCGUAAAGCGCACGUAGGCGGACUUUUAAGUCAGGGGUGAAAUCCCGGGGCUCAACCCCGGAACUGCCUUUGAUACUGGAAGUCUUGAGUAUGGUAGAGGUGAGUGGAAUUCCGAGUGUAGAGGUGAAAUUCGUAGAUAUUCGGAGGAACACCGAUGGCGAAGGCAAUCCCCUGGGCCUGCACUGACGCUCAUGCACGAAAGCGUGGGGAGCAAACA